rnacentral:rRNA from 1 species
ACUCCUACGGGAGGCAGCAGUAGGGAAUCUUCCACAAUGGACGAAAGUCUGAUGGAGCAACGCCGCGUGAGUGAAGAAGGGUUUCGGCUCGUAAAACUCUGUUGUUAAAGAAGAACAUAUCUGAGAGUAACUGUUCAGGUAUUGACGGUAUUUAACCAGAAAGCCACGGCUAACUACGUGCCAGCAGCCGCGGUAAUACGUAGGUGGCAAGCGUUGUCCGGAUUUAUUGGGGCGUAAAGCGAGCGCAGGCGGUUUUUAAGUCUGAUGUGAAAGCCUUCGGCUCAACCGAGGAAGUGCAUCGGAAACUGGGAAACUUGAGUGCAGAAGAGGACAGUGGAACUCCAUGUGUAGCGGUGAAAUGCGUAGAUAUAUGGAAGAACACCAGUGGCGAAGGCGGCUGUCUGGUCUGUAACUGACGCUGAGGCUCGAAAGUAUGGGUAGCAAACAGGAUUAGAUACCCUGGUAGGAUAGC